rnacentral:ncRNA from 1 species
GACAAAUCGGAGAAGGACAAAAGUACAUCAUAGCCCAUUCGACUAGAGAAGAGUUCCCUAGGCUGAAAGGAAUUCUGAAUGAAGAAUGAUGGAAAGCUAGGUCUCGAGUGCAGGAAUUACUGUCGUAUGCCGCGUUAAGGCGUUUGAGAGGCGAGUCGUAAAGUUGAUUCGCAAUCAGGGUGGUACCGCGAAGAAGCCUUCGUCCCUGUU